rnacentral:misc_RNA from 1 species
UACGGAGGGAGCUAGCGUUGUUCGGAAUUACUGGGCGUAAAGCGCGCGUAGGCGGCUAUUCAAGUCAGGGGUGAAAGCCCGGAGCUCAACUCCGGAACUGCCUUUGAAACUAGAUAGCUAGAAUCUUGGAGAGGUCAGUGGAAUUCCGAGUGUAGAGGUGAAAUUCGUAGAUAUUCGGAAGAACACCAGUGGCGAAGGCGACUGACUGGACAAGUAUUGACGCUGAGGUGCGAAAGCGUGGGGAGCGAACAGG